GUCUGUCUAUGAUGUCUGGUUGGAUAUACAGAGGAAGAAAGGAUCACUGAUCAACGAAAGCGCCCCACUAAUACCAUCUAUCCCUUACCCGAUGAGUAACAUUCAUCUCUUCAGCACGUUCGGUACUUAAUUCUGUUAGUUAGAAGUAGGAGCGGUUUUUUUUUUUUGGUGCAGAUACGAGUUGUUUAAGACGGGAACUUUGGCUACUUCUGUUAUCUUAAGACUCUGUAGGAUUUUAUAGUGUGGUAAGACUGUCAUGCUUAAUGUUGCUGCGGACUGGUGGAGUAGGGAUGAAUUCUGCAAUGGAUGAUAUGAACUUGAUUCAGCAGGCGCAGAGGCAUCACUUAGUCGUAAGGGAACUUGGGGAGGAGAUUGAUCUGGAAAUUGGCCAUGGGGAUGAUGAACCUUCAUUUGCUAACACCCCUCUCCUAACUGGCCCACCAAGUGAACCUUCUGUGGAGGAGCAUGAUGAAGCCAAGAAUAUUAUGGUUUCUCAACUUCCGAUUGAAGAUCAAGAUAUGUCAAAGGCACAAGCAGUAAAAAGGAAGAAGAAGGUGGUAAAACGAUGGAGAGAGGAAUGGGCUGAUACUUACAAGUGGGCAUAUGUAGAUGUGAAGGAUGGAACUGCAAGGAUAUUCUGCUCUAUUUGUAGAGAAUAUGGUAGGAAGCACAGAAGGAAUCCAUAUGGGAAUGAAGGCAGUAGGAAUAUGCAGAUGAGUGCAUUGGAAGAACACAAUAAUAGUUUGCUUCACAAGGAGGCACUUCGUCUUCAGAUAGCCUCCAAGGACAAGAUCAUUGUCGACAAACCUAUUUAUGUAAAAGCUCUCAUGUCAAAAACGGCUGGAUCAAUUGUUGAAGCUGCACUUAGAAGGGAUCCCCAUGAGGCUGAGUUUAUACAAUCAGUGCAAGAAGCUGUCCAUGGUUUAGAAAGAGUAAUUGCAAAGAAUACUCAUUAUGUCAACAUCAUGGAGCGCUUGCUAGAACCUGAACGUAUGCUUCUUUUUCGAGUUCCUUGGGUGGAUGACAGGGGUGAGACACAUGUCAAUAGAGGGUUUCGAGUACAUUUUAAUCAGGCAUUGGGUCCAUGUAGGGGUGGCAUUCGAUUUCAUCCUUCUAUGAACUUAAGUAUUGCUAAGUUUCUUGGUUUUGAACAGGUACUCUUUGUUUUUCUGUUUUUCGAUGGACCAUAAUUCUGUGUUUGAAAUUUAUGUCGAAAAUCAGAAUGUAUUUCCCAUUUCUUCUUUCUGGGAUGAUUCUGAACGGUUGUUUGUGAACUGCAUAUUCAUUACCUUUGGGAAACUCCUAACAUAGUGUUGGAAGAACAUUUAAAUAAGAAGGAAAAACUAUCAAACACAAGAAGGUUUAAUUCUGACAAUUACUAUGUUGUGUUGUGCUCCACUUUGUCGAAGACAUUAAAGAAUGCCUUAUCACCAUACAAAUUGGGAGGAGCUGCCGGUGGAAGUGAUUUUGAUCCAAAAGGAAAAAGUGAUAAUGAGAUUAUGCGCUUUUGCCAAAGUUUCAUGAAUGAGAUCUAUAGAUAUCUGGGUCCUGACAAGGACCUUCCUGCAGAGGAGAUGGGAGUUGGUACUCGAGAAAUGGGAUAUCUCUUUGGGCAGUAUAGACGUCUAGUUGGUCAUUUUCAGGGAAGUUUUACAGGGCCAAGGAUAUUUUGGUCUGGCUCUAGCCUUCGAACUGAAGCUACUGGCUAUGGGCUGGUUUUCUUUGCUCAGCUUAUGCUUGCAGACAUGAAUAAGGAACUCAAAGGACUAAGGUCCCUCACUCGACUCCGAAUCCUUUGUAAAGUUGUUUAAGAUUCUACAUGCCAAUAACAUAGUAUUGAAAUCUUUAUUUUAUUUAAUAUAGGGUACAAUUUGCUUGUUCUCACUGCUUAGCUGAACUCUCUAAUGCCUUGUGUUUGAGAAUUGGGAUAUUGUUAUACUUUUAAUUCUUGUAAAUAUAAGUGUACCAUGCUAACUUAUCAAAAUAUUUUAUUAAUGAUGAUUUGAGGUUAACUUUAUUAUUGCUCAAUCUACUGAAAGGAGCUUCAACAUAUUGGCAAAGUUUAGUUGCUGCUGAAUCUAAAAUUCCUUGGUUCACAUAUUUUUCUCUUAAUUUCCUGUUCAGAUGUGUUGUAAGUGGUUCUGGAAAGAUUGCAAUGCAUGUUCUGGAGAAGCUUAUUGCUUACGGUGCUGUCCCUGUCACCGUAUCAGAUUCUAAGGGAUACUUGGUGGAUGAUGAAGGAUUCGAUUACGUGAAAAUAUCAUUUCUUCGAGAUAUCAAAGCCCAUCAGAGAAGUUUGAGAGAUUACUCGAAGACUUAUGCUCGGUCUAAGUACUAUGAUGAAGCAAAACCUUGGAAUGAAAGGUGUGAUGUUGCAUUUCCUUGCGCUUCCCAAAAUGAAAUUGACCAAUCUGAUGCCCUUAAUCUGGUUAAUUCAGGUUGUCGUAUACUAGUAGAAGGUUCAAACAUGCCCUGUACACCUGAAGCUGUUGAGGUCCUGAGAAAAGCAAAUGUUCUUAUUGCUCCUGCUAUGGCAGCUGGUGCUGGAGGGGUAUGAUACUCGAUUUGACCUAUGCACAAUAAGCCUCUCUCUUCUUUGUCAAUAUAUAUAUAUAUUAUGAAAUUUCUUCAUAGGCAGAAAUAUAUUCGAAAAUUGAAAAUUGAAAUAUCAUCAUUCCAUAGCAUUCUAUCUAAUAUAAGGCGAAUACAAAGCAAGCUUAAUUUAUCUCAUAAAGAAGAUGCAUCUUAACAGGUACAUUCAGGAUAAACUUUUUGUUUUCGUUUUGCAAGACUGGAAAUCCAGGCAGAUUAAUAUUAAAAUCUUUGAAUUUGCAGUUAAAUUUAAUGAUUUAAACUUCUUUGAAGGUGAUUUGUAACAUUAGGAAGCCCUCAGGAUAUGAUUGUAAUUGCUAAGUAUCUCAUGAUGUUGCUCUGCAAGUGUAAUAUGGUGGCAUUUAAGGGUUUUUGGUCUUUAAAGGUAGACAGAUAAGAUCGCUUGAUUUUAUCAUGAUUUAUUCUUUUAAGUAUCCUUAAUGAUAAUUAGUAUGCCCUUUAUUUAUGCACUAAAUAUGUAGUAUACUUGGCUGUAGGUUGUUGCUGGGGAGCUUGAAUUAAACCAUGAAUGCAACUUGAUGCACUGGUCCCCUGAGGACUUUGAAUCUAAAUUGCAGGUGAGACUUUAUUUGCAUUUAUUAUUUCCUUGAUAUGAUUAUUUUCAAACUGGAAGAUGGAUCUCUACAAUUUUGGAACCUCUUGCCUCAAAUUGGUGAGCCAGUCAGUCAUUUACUUUGAAGAACCUAGUUAUCCAUAACCCCUGUGUUGGAAAAUGAUCUAAUGCAAAGCAGUUUUGAAGUUGUUAAAAUUGUCAUUUGUUUUUUCUGAUUAGAAAUUUUUUAUGUUGCUGCCAAAGUAGCCUGAAGUGUCUCAAAGUAACUUUUCCCAAUAUCAAUACAUGAUGACACAGAUUCGGUAGCGUGAUAACAUAGACUUGGCUUGAUUUUGGGUUAAGUAGGUUUCAUUUAUCUUUUGUGGUUCACUAGUUCUGUCCUCAUCAGAUUAAUGUUCAGAAAUUGGUACUUUUAAGUUGCAAUUUAUGGUCAUAUUUCUAUUGUUUUUCUUUUUUUUUUCUUACUUUUACUUUGGACUGGCAGGAAGCAAUGAAACAGAUAUACCAAAGAGCCCUCAAGGGAGCAAGUGAUUUUGGUUACCAAAAAGAGAGUCCUGAGUAAGUGCUUUUCUACAUUAGCACUAUAAUGAUACAAAUUUUCUUUGCCACUAUAGGUUGUGAUAUAAAUGAACUAUUCCCCAAGUGGCUGUGGAAUUGCGGGUAUCAGUUUUUCCAUAUUUUUUUGAAUAAUAGCAUCUAAAAUGCAUAUAUUUUAUUAAUUUAUAUUGUUUAUAUUUUUUCUAUAAAACAAACAAGUAAAUAAUUUUUGCAACACAGAUAUCAGCAUGAUGGCGAGUCACCUGUUCCAGUUGUGUAGAUGUGUUUAUGCAGGCUUUAGUACCCUUUCACUCAUGUUUUGCGUGUCAAAGUAGAAUGUAAUCGAGGAUUAAAAGCAAUCCCAACAUAAUGUGCUCUUCAUAUAUUGAAUUCUUGUUCUCCGAAAAUUUUACCCACAUGAUUGCACCACAAUAUAACGGGAAAUCUGCAAUUUGAGUGUACAUCUACCGGUGUGAAUAAUGGCACCAAGGUGGUGAUAAUAAAUGCUUUAUGAAUGUCCAAUGUGUUUGGAAACCCAAUUCCUCUAUGUAGCAUUUGAUUUACUGAAAGACAUGGUUAUCAGGGGACAGCAGUGCAAUAUAGCAAAUCUCUUUGAUUAUAUCUGAAUUAGAGGAUUACAGAUUCACAUCCUGGUGAUGGCUGGUCUUAAGAAAAUUGUGUAGAACAAAACCUAAAAAUGCUUUUGUGCCUGCAUUUUUUUCCUUGAGUGUAGAUAAUUCAACCAAAUGUUGUGUUUCUAGGAACAAAAUUAAGCUUAUGGUGAAUAUUAAGCAUUUAUCCUGUUGAUCAACUUUGCAGGCCUUCUGCAUGA
rnacentral:misc_RNA from 1 species